CUGGGAGGCCGACAGCGGCGGCGGGGACAGAGCAUACAAUGAUUCUGCGCCGGCGACCAAUCCCAAAUCACCCAGCCAGAUUUACUAUGUCCUCGACAGCCGGGUAAGGCACAUGUUCUCCACUUUUCUCACGCUCCCUCCCUCUUCAUCUCUCUGUUUCCCGUCCGUCCCCUGCUCACCUUGCUAGAUCUGAAUGAUUGCCUUGCAAGGAUGAAGGUCAUGCUCGCGGCUCGCCGCCGUAUGUCCAGAAGCAAUGCCAUGUCCACCUACAAUUCCAUCCAGGCUCGCUAAUCUGCAUCCAUAUAUACCUUGGAUUUCUAAAUAAGAAAGAGGUAUGCUGAACAAGAUUCAGGUCGUGCUAAGACAUCAACAAUCUAUGCCGACAAGCCUCCACUAUCUAUUGCAGAAAUAAAGAACCGUACGUGUUGAUCGCUUAUCCUGAAUAUGAUUUGGGGCGAAUAAGGCCCUACUAGCUUCUAAAUCUGCUGAACUGUACUGAUCAUGGUGUGAAACUAAUUUUUCUUUUGCUCUUCUAAAGGCCAUCUCACCUUCGCAAUGAUUCAUAUUUUGCCAGAGGAGAUGGCUCAGUUGGAAAUUAUGUUCUGCUUCUUGAUUCUUAUGCUAAUUCUCUGUCUGUUUGUAGGAUGGCUAGUGAUGUUCAGAAUAAUAAGGGAAGUGCCUUAAACCUGAAUAUCAAAUGAAAAGUUGAGCUGCACGUUGGGGUAUCCGUUCAAGUGGUUGAUGGCUAAUGUAUGAUGGAUAAAGAGUAGCGUCUUGGUAUUUAUGGUUGUGAGAAGAAAAGUGAACCUCAAUGCUACCGUACAAUUAAUAGGAUACUAUGUUGCUUCCAGCCCGUGGAUAAGAAUGUUUUGGUCGCUGGGGUCCUAGAGAGAUUGGUGAACAGAUGAAGCUGAUGGGAGAUCUCUGGUCACCUGCAAGUUAAGCUAAUUUAAGAUCAAGUUCAACAGUUACUUAGUUUCAAGUUCACCAGUACCGCAGUAGUUAGUAUUCAAGUUCAGCAGCAAUUUUGUAAUAGUGAUUUCUGAAAUUUUCAUGCUGCUGGUUAGUUACUGCUAAGUGGCAUUCAAUUGUAUCAGGACGAAUUUUAUUUGUAAUCUCAAGGCUGGAAUUUGUUUUAGUGAGAUAUUUCCUGAAACCACUACAUGGAAUAUAUU